rnacentral:piRNA from 1 species
UUGGACUUCAAUAUUCGUUCU